GACGUAGGGCGCGAGCGUUGUCCGGAUUUAUUGGGCGUAAAGAGCUCGUAGGCGGCUUGUUGCGUCAGCUGUGAAAACCCGCAGCUCAACUGUGGGCUUGCAGCUGAUACGGGCAGGCUUGAGUUCGGUAGGGGAGACUGGAAUUCCUGGUGUAGCGGUGAAAUGCGCAGAUAUCAGGAGGAACACCGGUGGCGAAAGCGGCUCUCUGGAACGGUACUGACGCUGAGACGCGAAAGCGUGGGGAGCGAACAGG
rnacentral:rRNA from 1 species